rnacentral:miRNA from 1 species
GUAUUGGUUGGUGCAAAAGUAAUUGCGGUUUUUGCCAUUACUUUCAAUGGCAAAAAACACAGUUUCUUUUGCACCAACCUAAUA